UAGAAUGUAGCUUAAGGGAAGAGCGGUUCGAAAUAAUCGAAAUGGUGCUGGUUCGAGUCCAGUCAUUCUGA
rnacentral:tRNA from 1 species